ACCUGCAUAGCAUAGUUGGUAUGUUGGUGGAAUUAUAUUAUAUAAUCCGAAGUUGCAUGUUCGAUUCGUGCUGCGCAGUUA